ensembl:lincRNA 1700041M05Rik RIKEN cDNA 1700041M05 gene
GACAACAGGAGGUUCAGAGGAAGCAACAGGGCCACCAUAUUCCCUGUGAUCACCCUUUACCCCUUGAAUCUUUUCAAAAGUGCUAGAGGCCCUGAUUCCAGCCUCUCUGCUUUUCUGGGUCUGGGAAAUGGCAGCUAAUAGUGGCUAAUCUAAGAAACACCAGAAUGGCAGAUGCCUGGGUCUAAGGCUCCAGACUUGAAGCACCUGCUCGCUCAAGAGUUUCGAGACUGCCAGUUAGUUCCAGGCACUGUUAACAUGAUGUCGUUGUCCCUGAAGGCUGGAAUUCAUUAAAGAGCCUGGAGCUGC